UACGGGGGGGGCAAGCGUUGUUCGGAAUUACUGGGCGAAAAGGGCGCGUAGGCGGCUUAUCAAGUCAGGCGUGAAAUUCCCGGGCUCAACCUGGGGGCUGCGCUUGAUACUGAUGAGCUUGAAUGCGGGAGAGGAUAGUGGAAUUCCCAGUGUAGAGGUGAAAUUCGUAGAUAUUGGGAAGAACACCGGUGGCGAAGGCGGCUAUCUGGCCCGUAAUUGACGCUGAGGCGCGAAAGCGUGGGGAGCAAACAGG
rnacentral:rRNA from 1 species